rnacentral:lncRNA from 1 species
AGAAUACUCAGUUGCGCCCUAAGUGUAUAACUUUGCAACGAGUACUUUUUCUCAUUCUAUCGAACGAAGAGCAAAAGCUAAUUAUACUGUUCUAUUAUUCCCCGAGAGCGUAAAUUUGGAACGAAUCGACGUCAACGUUCACAGGAACCAAAACCGGAAUAACAUUACAAUACUCAGUUGUGCCCUAACAGUAUAACUUUGCAACGCGUACUUUUUCUCAUUCAAUCGAACAAACAGUUAAACCUAAUUAUAUUGUUCUAUUAUGCCCCGAGAGUGUAAAUUUCGAAUGAAUCGAUGUCAACGUUCACAAUAACCAAAGCCGGAACAACAUUAGACUACUCAGUUGAGCCCUAACAGUAUAACUUUGCAACGACUACUUCUUCUCAUUCAAUCGAACAAAGAGUAAAACUUAAUUAUCUUGUUCAAUUUUGCCUCGAAAGGGUAAAUUUCGAACGAAUCGAUGUCAACGUUCACAAGAACCAAAAUCGGAACAACAUUAGGCAACUCAGUUGCGCCAUAACAGUAUAACUUUGCAACGAGUACUUUUUCUCAUUCAAUCGAACAAAUCGUUAAACCUUAUAUUGUUCUAUUAUGCCCCGAGAGUGUAAAUUUCGAAUGAAUCGAUGUCAACGUUCACAAUAACCAAAGCCGGAACAACAUUAGACUACUUAGUUGCGCCCUAACAGUAUAACUUUGCAACGAGUACUUUUUCUCAUUCAAUCGAACAAAAAGUAAAACCUAAUUAUCUUGUUCUAUUUUGCUUCGAGAGGGUAAAUUUCGAGCGAAUCGAUGUCAACGUCCAUAAGAACCAAAAUCGGAACAAUAUUAGACUACUCAGAUGCGCCAUAACAGCAUAACUUUGCAACGAGUACUUUUUCUCAUUCAAUCGAACAAACAGUUAAACCUAAUUAUAUUGUUCUAUUAAGCCCCAAGAGUGUAAAGAUGGACGAAUCGAUGUCAACGUUCACAAGAACCAAAAUCGGAACAACAUUAGACUACUCAGUUGCGCCCUAACAGUAUAACUUUGCAACGAGUACUUUUUCUCAUUCAAUCGAACAAACAGUUAAACCUAAUUAUAUUGUUCUAUUAUGCCCCGAGGGUAUAAAU